rnacentral:rRNA from 1 species
UACGUAGGGUGCGAGCGUUGUCCGGAAUUAUUGGGCGAAAGAGCUUGUAGGCGGUUUGUCGCGUCUGCCGUGAAAAUUCGAGGCUCAACCUCGAACUUGCGGUGGGUACGGGCAGACUAGAGUGUGGUAGGGGAGACUGGAAUUCCUGGUGUAGCGGUGAAAUGCGCAGAUAUCAGGAGGAACACCGAUGGCGAAGGCAGGUCUCUGGGCAGUAACUGACGCUGAGGAGCGAAAGCGUGGGGAGCGAACAGG